CUGAUUUUUGUACGUCAGUGGUAAACAAGCAGACAGCUUGGACCCUUCGACUCAGUCGAAAGGCGCGCUGUACGAAUCGUCGACGAUCCCAAACUCACAAGCGGUAUUGAACCUUUAAGUCUAAGGAGAGACUUCGCCUCCUUAUGCGUGUUCUACCGCUUGUACAAUGGGCUGUGCUCUGAAGAACUGUUUGACAUGAUGCCAACGGCCGCUUUCUAUCACCGCACCGCUCGCCAUCGGCAGGGUGUUCAUCCUCACACCCUAGCACCUAAACCGGUUUAAGAGGAAUUUCCUCCCGCGUAUUACGCUUCGGCUGUGGAAUGAGCUCCCUGCCGAGGUUUUCCCGAGGGGCUACAGUAUGGGGUUCUUCAAAAAAGGAGUGUACAGAUUUUUAAAGGGUCGGCAACGCGCGUGUAAUAUCUCCGGUGUUGCAGGCGUCCAUAGGCUACGGUAACUGCUUACCAUCAAGCGGGCUGUAUGCUUGAUUGCCACCGACGUGGUAUAAAAAAAAAGCUCGCCAGGUGCAGGUUACCGUGACGUAUUGGACGUUUGAAACUUCGUAAGUGUAACAUGCGCGUUGCCGAUCCUUUAAAAUAGAGGAAAAUUAACGGAUCAGCCACAUUUAUGCUAAAAUACUACGCGCGUAACAAUUAUACCCCUUAGUCUAGUUACAUCAAUAACUUUAUUCUAAUUUGCCUAUAACUUUAGAAUGUAAGAUGUAAAGCAAAUUCACACACUAAAAAAUAUUUGAAUAAUUUGCAUAUUAUAGAUAUUAAGUUAUUAUAUGUACUACUACUUAUUAAACAUGCAUAAAUUGUUGUGAUUAACAUAAUGUUAUGAACAUAACUCAUGGAUUGUACUGCCUAAUAAUAUUGCAAGUAUUGCAACGGUGCUUUAGAUAAGUAAGUAUAAUUUACAAAUGAUUUGUUAAGCGUAAUUUAAAAACAUUUUAGACAAAGGCGUUACACGUAUAGUAACAAUACUACCUGCGGGCUUAGCAUGGUAGCGUGACAAGGCCGUGAUAGGGCGAAAUCGUGAUAGUUAUCCACAUCUGACAGCGGUAGAUGACAGAAUGACAGCGGUAGAUGACAGAAUGACAGCGGUAGACGACAGAAUGACAGCGGUAGACGACAGAAUGACAGCGGUAGAUGACAGAAUGACAGCGGUAGAUGACAGAAUGACAGCGGUAGAUGACAGGAGCUUGACAGACGACAAUUUGCAUAACAUAGUCGUUGCCGUCGUUGAUAAUUUGACACAUUGUCCCAUUUUGACAGUUCAACUUCGUUAAUUCUAUCUACGUGCUUCUUAGGUGACGAUAAGCCUUGUCGUGAAAGCAAAAUUAUUGAAUAAACCAAUUUUAAGGUAUAAAUUACGGGUAAAUAUCAGUUUUUCUAUGAUAUUGAGUUAUUAGUUACAAUGUUCCGCUGUAUAUAUAUAUUGUCAAUUUUUUCUUUGCAGGAAAGUCAAAUUUUAUUAUUCCUACUUGCGGAUGCUGUUAAAGAAAAAGAGCGUCUAAAAAUCUCGUGCAUAGCUUUAUCAAGACACUCUUACAACCCGUCUGAUAUGCCAGACGAAGAAUUUCGGGCAUUUCGCAUAUUUACAGUUAUGUGCCGAACUUAACGCCGAGCCUCAAAAGUCAAAACGGUGAUGGAUUACUAAAACACCUAAAGGUUCUAACAGGUGUAAUAACACCUGCUAGCUGAUGGCAACUAGUCCAUUGGUCAGACUACUGUGAGCCAGUAGCUAUUGAAGCAAUUUGUAAUAGCUGUAAAUAGAAGAAAACUUCUCUUGGAUCAAGGGAGAAAUUAAGGAAGGCGCUCCUCAAGGACUUCCUAAGCAUCAUGCACAAAACCGGCUGUUACUAAGAGUGUGCGCUUGCGAGUUGCUAGCGAGCUUAAUAAAUACAUACUUAUGUCGCCUAUGUUUUACU